CCCGACUGCUAUUUGGGUGAGAAUAAGCCAUGCAAGUCGAAUGGGAUACCUAAAUUUCCCAUGGCAAACUGCUCAGUAACACAUGAUCAACUUACCCUAUAGAGAAAAAUAACCUCGGGAAACUGAGGAUAAUAUUUCAUAGUUGAAUAGGCUUGGAAAAGUUAUUCAAUAAAAAGGAUAAAAAAAAUGGUUUUUAUCUGCUAUAGGAUAGGAUCGUGGACGAUUAUGGUUGUUGGUGAGGUAACGGCUCACCAAGCCGAUAAUCGAUAGGGGCCGUGAGAGCGGGAGCCCCGAGAUGGGUACUGAGACAACGACCCAGGCCUUACGAGGCGCAGCAGGCGCGGAACCUCCGCAAUACACGAAAGUGUGACGGGGUUACCCAAAGUGUUCAGUUUUGAACUGUGGUAGGUGAGUAAUGUCCCCUACUAGAAAGGAGAGGGCAAGGCUGGUGCCAGCCGCCGCGGUAAAACCAGCUCCUCAAGUGGUCGGGAUAAUUAUUGGGCUUAAAGUGUCCGUAGCCGGUUUAGUAAGUUCCUGGUAAAAUCGGGUAGCUUAACUAUCUGUAUGCUAGGAAUACUGCUAUACUAGAGGGCGGGAGAGGUCUGAGGUACUACAGGGGUAGGGGUGAAAUCUUAUAAUCCUUGUAGGACCACCAGUGGCGAAGGCGUCAGACUGGAACGCNCCUGACGGUGAGGGACGAAAGCCAGGGGAGCGAACCGGAUUAGAUACCCGGGUAGUCCUGNCCGUAAACGAUGCAUACUAGGUGAUGGCACGGCCAUGAGCCGUGUCAGUGCCGUAGGGAAACCGUUAAGUGUGCCGCCUGGGAAGUACGGUCGCAAGGCUAAAACUUAAAGGAAUUGGCGGGGGAGCACCACAAGGGGUGAAGCCUGCGGUUCAAUUGGAUUCAACGCCGGGAAUCGAAUUCNNG
rnacentral:rRNA from 1 species